rnacentral:rRNA from 1 species
UGAUACGUAGGGUGCGAGCGUUGUCCGGAUUUAUUGGGCGUAAAGAGCUUGUAGGCGGUUUGUCACGUCGGAAGUGAAAACUUGGGGCUCAACCCCAAGCCUGCUUUCGAUACGGGCUGACUUGAGGAAGGUAGGGGAGAAUGGAAUUCCCGGUGGAGCGGUGGAAUGCGCAGAUAUCGGGAGGAACACCAGUGGCGAAGGCGGUUCUCUGGACCUUUCCUGACGCUGAGAAGCGAAAGCGUGGGGAGCAAACAGG